AUUGAACGCUGGCGGCAUGCCUUACACAUGCAAGUCGAACGGUAACGCGGGGCAACCUGGCGACGAGUGGCGAACGGGUGAGUAAUGUAUCGGAACGUGCCCAGUUGUGGGGGAUAACUGCUCGAAAGAGCAGCUAAUACCGCAUACGACCUGAGGGUGAAAGCGGGGGAUCGCAAGACCUCGCGCAAUUGGAGCGGCCGAUAUCAGAUUAGGUAGUUGGUGGGGUAAAGGCUCACCAAGCCAACGAUCUGUAGCUGGUCUGAGAGGACGACCAGCCACACUGGGACUGAGACACGGCCCAGACUCCUACGGGAGGCAGCAGUGGGGAAUUUUGGACAAUGGACGCAAGUCUGAUCCAGCCAUGCCGCGUGCGGGAAGAAGGCCUUCGGGUUGUAAACCGCUUUUGUCAGGGAAGAAACGCUCUGGGUUAAUACCUGGGACUCAUGACGGUACCUGAAGAAUAAGCACCGGCUAACUACGUGCCAGCCGCCGCCGUAACAC
rnacentral:rRNA from 1 species